rnacentral:misc_RNA from 1 species
GACGAACCGUCCGAACGUUGUCCGGAUUUACUGGGCGUAAAGCGUGCGUAGGCGGCUUUUUAAGUCGGAUGUGAAAUCCCCGAGCUUAACUUGGGAAUUGCAUUCGAUACUGGGAAGCUAGAGUAUGGGAGAGGAUGGUAGAAUUCCAGGUGUAGCGGUGAAAUGCGUAGAGAUCUGGAGGAAUACCGAUGGCGAUGGCAGCCAUCUGGCCUAAUACUGACGCUGAGGUACGAAAGCAUGGGGAGCAAACAGG